CUCAAUAAGAGGAACUUAUAGGUGUACAACCCUAACAUAAAAGGAAAGAAAACUAAUUACAAGUGAUUACAUGGGAUUACAUAUCAAUUAGGGAUCCUACCUAAAAUACAAAAGUCAACAAAAUUGAUAUGGUUUCUAAAGAUUAUUGUACAAUUUGGAAAAAUUAAAAUCAAAUAAUCCAUUUUCAAAUCAAUUAUCUCAUAUGCAAACAUGGGUUAAAAAUUUGAAUUUUGACAAGUUGUUUUUCCAUCAAUCAAAAGUUCAUCCCCACUAAUGAGUUCAAUUUCUCAAAAACCGUUGAUUUUUUUUAUAUUGUAUAUAUGCGCCCCGACUUGUAUUUUCAUUCUGAUAUGGUUGUAAAUGCAAAACUAAAAUCAAAAUCCGACUUAUUAAAUUGUCCCUAGAUAAUAAACUUGUGUUAAUUCAAUCUAGAAAAGGUUGUCUUAAAAAAACGUCACUUGACACUUUAAAAGUCAAAUCGCGUCUCACUUGACCAUGUUAGAGGUUUCAACCUUUCCUUAUUGUAUAUCAGCUCAGGUCAUCUGCCUUACAAUUUCAUGUGAAUCUUGUGGCAGUACUUUGGAGUCUGGAGGCCACUAUUUGAAAAAGCGGUAUGGACAGCUGCGUAGGUGAGACUUAAGCUCUAGGCAAAGGCCGGACGCUUUGAUUAGGGUCUGGGCGUUUAGAAAAUCGAUAAAGUCUUUAGGCUGUCCUAGUGUCACGGGAUGACUCUUUAAGCCUUCCGCCCGUGCGGCACUUAGACUUGAAUACCUCGAUGAACAA
rnacentral:lncRNA from 1 species